AGAGUUUGAUCCUGGCUCAGGACGAACGCUGGCGGCGUGCCUAAUACAUGCAAGUCGAGCGAUGAUUGAAGAUAGCUUGCUAUUUUCAUGAAGAGCGGCGAACGGGUGAGUAACGCGUGGGAAAUCUGCCGAGUAGCGGGGGACAACGUUUGGAAACGAACGCUAAUACCGCAUAACAAUGAGAAUCGCAUGAUUCUUAUUUGAAAGAAGCAAUUGCUUCACUACUUGAUGAUCCCGCGUUGUAUUAGCUAGUUGGUAGUGUAAAGGACUACCAAGGCGAUGAUACAUAGCCGACCUGAGAGGGUGAUCGGCCACACUGGGACUGAGACACGGUCCAGACUCCUACGGGAGGCAGCAGUAGGGAAUCUUCGGCAAUGGGGGCAACCCUGACCGAGCAACGCCGCGUGAGUGAAGAAGGUUUUCGGAUCGUAAAACUCUGUUGUUAGAGAAGAACGUUAAGUAGAGUGGAAAAUUACUUAAGUGACGGUAUCUAACCAGAAAGGGACGGCUAACUACGUGCCAGCAGCCGCGGUAAUACGUAGGUCCCAAGCGUUGUCCGGAUUUAUUGGGCGUAAAGCGAGCGCAGGUGGUUUCUUAAGUCUGAUGUAAAAGGCAGUGGCUCAACCAUUGUGUGCAUUGGAAACUGGGAGACUUGAGUGCAGGAGAGGAGAGUGGAAUUCCAUGUGUAGCGGUGAAAUGCGUAGAUAUAUGGAGGAACACCGGAGGCGAAAGCGGCUCUCUGGCCUGUAACUGACACUGAGGCUCGAAAGCGUGGGGAGCAAACAGGAUUAGAUACCCUGGUAGUCCACGCCGUAAACGAUGUCGAUUUGGAGGUUGUGCCCUUGAGGCGUGGCUUCCGGAGCUAACGCGUUAAAUCGACCGCCUGGGGAGUACGGCCGCAAGGUUAAAACUCAAAUGAAUUGACGGGGGCCCGCACAAGCGGUGGAGCAUGUGGUUUAAUUCGAUGCAACGCGAAGAACCUUACCUGGUCUUGACAUCCACAGAACUUAGCAGAGAUGCUUUGGUGCCUUCGGGAACUGUGAGACAGGUGCUGCAUGGCUGUCGUCAGCUCGUGUUGUGAAAUGUUGGGUUAAGUCCCGCAACGAGCGCAACCCUUAUCCUUUGUUGCCAGCGGUUAGGCCGGGAACUCAAAGGAGACUGCCAGUGAUAAACUGGAGGAAGGUGGGGAUGACGUCAAGUCAUCAUGGCCCUUACGACCAGGGCUACACACGUGCUACAAUGGCAUAUACAAAGAGAAGCGACCUCGCGAGAGCAAGCGGACCUCAUAAAGUAUGUCGUAGUCCGGAUUGGAGUCUGCAACUCGACUCCAUGAAGUCGGAAUCGCUAGUAAUCGUAGAUCAGAAUGCUACGGUGAAUACGUUCCCGGGCCUUGCACACACCGCCCGUCA
rnacentral:rRNA from 1 species